AGAUUGUUGGUGAUAACCAAAAUCAUAAACAAAUUCCUCUUUGACGGGCCAAUAUCAUUAUUGGCCUUCUUUUU
rnacentral:sRNA from 2 species